UAUUCCUGAAAUAUCACCGUUUUUCCUGUAGUGUCUAUAAAAACUUAUAAAUAAAGUAAGAUGAAGCGUUUUCAGAGGCGAUUUUGAUAUUUUCGAUAUUCUUCUUUAUUUCCCGCCGCAGGAAGCACAGGAGGCCACGAAGAAGAAAUAACCACCGCCGACUACGACUACCGAACAGAGACGGCGACACCAGACUACGACUACACCGCCACCUUCGACUAUUUCUACGUGACGGGGUUUUAUCCAGCUGAAGUCCACAACAAGGCCUCGUGGGUCGGCGGGUGCGGCCCGGUUCUCCUGCUGGGAUUGGCCGUCCAACAGAUCUGGAGCUGAUGAGGACGGAGCCAAAGACCACCUGCAGACAGGUGAGAGCCAAUCAAAUUCAUUCUGA